rnacentral:rRNA from 1 species
AGAGUUUGAUCAUGGCUCAGGACGAACGCUGGCGGCGUGCCUAAUACAUGCAAGUAGAACGCUGACUACUUUAGCUUGCUAGAGUAGAAGGAGUUGCGAACGGGUGAGUAACGCGUAGGUAACCUGCCUACUAGCGGGGGAUAACUAUUGGAAACGAUAGCUAAUACCGCAUAACAGUGUUUAACACAUGUUAGAUGCUUGAAAGAUGCAAAUGCAUCACUAGUAGAUGGACCUGCGUUGUAUUAGCUAGUUGGUGGGGUAACGGCCUACCAAGGCGACGAUACAUAGCCGACCUGAGAGGGUGAUCGGCCACACUGGGACUGAGACACGGCCCAGACUCCUACGGGAGGCAGCAGUAGGGAAUCUUCGGCAAUGGGGGCAACCCUGACCGAGCAACGCCGCGUGAGUGAAGAAGGUUUUCGGAUCGUAAAGCUCUGUUGUAAGAGAAGAACGUGUGUGAGAGUGGAAAGUUCACACAGUGACGGUAACUUACCAGAAAGGGACGGCUAACUACGUGCCAGCAGCCGCGGUAAUACGUAGGUCCCGAGCGUUGUCCGGAUUUAUUGGGCGUAAAGCGAGCGCAGGCGGUUUAAUAAGUCUGAAGUUAAAGGCAGUGGCUUAACCAUUGUUCGCUUUGGAAACUGUUAAACUUGAGUGCAGAAGGGGAGAGUGGAAUUCCAUGUGUAGCGGUGAAAUGCGUAGAUAUAUGGAGGAACACCGGUGGCGAAAGCGGCUCUCUGGUCUGUAACUGACGCUGAGGCUCGAAAGCGUGGGGAGCAAACAGGAUUAGAUACCCUGGUAGUCCACGCCGUAAACGAUGAGUGCUAGGUGUUAGGCCCUUUCCGGGGCUUAGUGCCGCAGCUAACGCAUUAAGCACUCCGCCUGGGGA